rnacentral:misc_RNA from 1 species
GAUGAAGAACGUAGCGAAAUGCGAUAAGUAAUGUGAAUUGCAGAAUUCAGUGAAUCAUCGAAUCUUUGAACGCACAUUGCGCCCCCUGGUAUUCCGGGGGGCAUGCCUGUCCGAGCGUCAUUGCUGCCCUCAAGCACGGCUUGUGUGUUGGGCCUCCGUCCUCCUCCCGGGGGACGGGCCCGAAAGGCAGCGGCGGCACCGCGUCCGGUCCUCGAGCGUAUGGGGCUUCGUCACCCGCUCUUGUAGGCCCGGCCGGCGCUUGCCGACACAUCAAUCUUUUUUCCAGGUUGACCUCGGAUCAGGUAGGGAUACCCGCUGAACUUAAGCAUAUCAAUAAGCGGAGG